rnacentral:rRNA from 1 species
GACGAACGCUGGCGGCGUGCUUAACACAUGCAAGUCGAGCGGUAAGGCCCUUUCGGGGUACGACGAGCGGCGAACGGGUAGAGUAACAACGUGGGUGGACCUCGCCCUCCAGCUCUGGGAGUAAAGCCUCGGGAAACCGGGGUACGUAAUAACCGGAUAUGACUCCAUGACGCAUGUUGUGGGGUGGAAAGCCUUGUGCGGCUGAGGAUGGGCCCGGCGGCCUAUCAGCUUGUUGGUGGGGUGAUGGCCUA